GACGAACGCUGGCGGCGUGCUUAACACAUGCAAGUCGAACGGAAAGGCCCUGCUUUUGUGGGGUGCUCGAGUGGCGAACGGGUGAGUAACACGUGAGUAACCUGCCCUUGACUUUGGGAUAACUUCAGGAAACUGGGGCUAAUACCGGAUAGGAGCUCCUGCUGCAUGGUGGGGGUUGGAAAGUUUCGGCGGUUGGGGAUGGACUCGCGGCUUAUCAGCUUGUUGGUGGGGUAGUGGCUUACCAAGGCUUUGACGGGUAGCCGGCCUGAGAGGGUGACCGGCCACAUUGGGACUGAGAUACGGCCCAGACUCCUACGGGAGGCAACAGUGGGGAAUAUUGCACAAUGGGCGGAAGCCUGAUGCAGCAACGCCGCGUGCGGGAUGACGGCCUUCGGGUUGUAAACCGCUUUCGCCUGUGACGAAGCGUGAGUGACGGUAAUGGGUAAAGAAGCACCGGCUAACUACGUGCCAGCAGCCGCGGUGAUACGUAGGGUGCGAGCGUUGUCCGGAUUUAUUGGGCGUAAAGGGCUCGUAGGUGGUUGAUCGCGUCGGAAGUGUAAUCUUGGGGCUUAACCCUGAGCGUGCUUUCGAUACGGGUUGACUUGAGGAAGGUAGGGGAGAAUGGAAUUCCUGGUGGAGCGGUGGAAUGCGCAGAUAUCAGGAGGAACACCAGUGGCGAAGGCGGUUCUCUGGGCCUUUCCUGACGCUGAGGAGCGAAAGCGUGGGGAGCGAACAGGCUUAGAUACCCUGGUAGUCCACGCUGUAAACGGUGGGUACUAGGUGUGGGGUCCAUUCCACGGGUUCCGUGCCGUAGCUAACGCUUUAAGUACCCCGCCUGGGGAGUACGGCCGCAAGGCUAAAACUCAAAGGAAUUGACGGGGCCCCGCACAAGCGGCGGAGCAUGCGGAUUAAUUCGAUGCAACGCGUAGAACCUUACCUGGGUUUGACAUGGAUCGGGAGCGCUCAGAGAUGGGUGUGCCUCUUUUGGGGUCGGUUCACAGGUGGUGCAUGGCUGUCGUCAGCUCGUGUCGUGAGAUGUUGGGUUAAGUCCCGCAACGAGCGCAACCCUUGUUCACUGUUGCCAGCACGUUAUGGUGGGGACUCAGUGGAGACCGCCGGGGUCAACUCGGAGGAGGGUGGGGAUGGCGUCAAGUCAUCAUGCCCCUUAUGUCCAGGGCUUCACGCAUGCUACAAUGGCUGGUACAGAGAGUGGCGAGCCUGUGAGGGUGAGCGAAUCUCGGAAAGCCGGUCUCAGUUCGGAUUGGGGUCUGCAACUCGACCUCAUGAAGUCGGAGUCGCUAGUAAUCGCAGAUCAGCAACGCUGCGGUGAAUACGUUCCCGGGGCU
rnacentral:rRNA from 1 species